rnacentral:rRNA from 1 species
CAACUUUCAACAACGGAUCUCUUGGUUCUGGCAUCGAUGAAGAACGCAGCGAAAUGCGAUAAGUAGUGUGAAUUGCAGAAUUCAGUGAAUCAUCGAAUCUUUGAACGCACAUUGCGCCCCUUGGUANUUCCAUGGGGCAUGCCUGUUCGAGCGUCAUUU